GUGGAAUCCGCUAUCGCUGUGUUGAGACACACUGCUGAUGAGUACACCAUCCGUGAGAAGAUGAAAGUCACUUUCAGUUAUCGCCAUGCCAUGGUCAAUGAUAAUGACAAAUCAGCAGAGGUCUUCUCAGUAUUUCCACGGUUCCUGGACACACCAGGACUGAUAGAACAGGAUUUCAGACUUAUGUUUGGUGAGCAGACUGCCAACAAUUUCCUGGAGAGGUGGCCUACCACUUUCAAAGCAAAAGUAAUUAAGGAAAGCCAUGGACUGGUCCCCUCCACAGACCUUCUUGAUUUGAUGCGCAACGCUGAGACAUCUACUGAAGUCGAAAAUGGCUGGGACAGUGACAUGUCAACCAUCAUACUGCUGCUACAUCUGCUACCGCCAUCCGCACAGGGACGAAAGAGGCCAGGGAAGAUCUCAGCAUCUCAUGCAGUAGAUCACCUCAUCAAAUUCCAAAAGACGGGAACAAGCGUGCAGCAGCAUCUUGACACCAUAAGUCAAAGCAGUCAGCCCUACCUCCUUGCUCAGGGACCCACAAAAAGCAGCAUUACCUCCUUCUUCAUUGCUAUCGACAAGCAUGCACUUCCAUGCAAAGCAACCAGCGCAGUCGGAGCCCUGGAUGAACUCUUUAAGGCCCACUACGUCUUUUGUACAUCUUACAGUCCUGUGUUGAAUAAUUUCUUCACUUUUUUGCAAACCACCAUUUACAGCAUUGAUGUGGGGGAAACGAAGGAAACGCCAAGAAUCGCAGAGUUGCGAGUGCGAAUGGUGCGUUAAACAAUGAGGUGCUUUCUUUGCAGCAAAGAACUUGGUGAGGCAAAAAAUCUUAUAAAGCACCUCAAAGUUAUACAUGGACUCUGUACAGGAAAGACUCUUCAUCUUAAAUGUGGCGAAGUGGGAUGCUCACGUUUUUUUAAUAGUUUUUCGGGUUUUAGGAAGCAUCUUAACAAGUCCCAUGUGAAUAGUGGUUUUAAUGUUGUUGUUGAAACUGAACCACCACGUUGUCAAAGUGUUCUAAAUAGUGAUGAAAGUCCUGCAGAAGAGCCAUAUGAGGCUGAGGUUGAGUCAGAGCAAGCGUUAUCCUCAGAACAUCUUGUAAAUAGUUGUGCCUCUGUCAUUUCAGAUCUUAAGGCAGCAGGUGUAGCCCAGUCUGUUAUUAAUUCAGUUGUGACCUCUAUGGAGGAUAUUGUGCAGGAUAUACAUGAGCAUGCUAGAGAGUCAGUCAUCCAGGGUGUUUUUCAUGAUCAAAGAGGAACUGAAUCAUGCAAGAAAGUUGAGGGAUGUUUUGACCAAUUAGAGAAUCCAUUCACAGCUCUAAAUUCAGAAUACAAACAAUCAAAAUUUAUGACCAGCAAAUGGGAAACUGUGGAGCCAGUGGAGCUUGUAAUUGGCUCAAGAUUUGACUUGAGGCUCAACAAAAAGACAGGAACAUAUGACCAAGUAGUAGUUAAAGACAAAUUUAUGUAUGUUCCAAUUUUAUCGACAUUAAACUCAAUAUUUAAAAGUGAACAUGCCAGAGAAAUGCUCAAAAGCCCAAAUAUAAGUGAUUCAAAACUCAAAGAUAUUUGUGAUGGCUCUUUCUUCAACACUCAUCCUCUAUUUUCAACAGAGAGACACACUGUACAGAUUCAAAUGUUUUAUGACGAUUUCGAGAUUGCCAACCCCUUGGGGUCCAAGAAGGGAGUUCAUAAAAUGGGUGGUAUUUAUUUUACUUUAAGGAAUUUCUCACCGAAGUGGAAUUCUAUUUUGGCCAAUAUACAUCUUUGUGCCUUGUUUCAUGCUCAGGAUAUAAAGCGUUACGGUUUUAGUGCUAUUUUAGAUCCUAUUGUUUGUGAUCUCAAACAGUUAGAGAGUAAUGGCAUUGAUAUUCCAUUGUAUGGUGGUUGUGUUCGUGGCAGUGUUAUACAGGUGACUGGAGAUAAUUUAGGCCUACAUAGUUUGUUUGGUCUGGUUGAGAGUUUCAGUGCAAGGUAUUGCUGUAGGUUUUGUUUAGCCGAAAAAGAGGACUUCCAAACUGAAUUCUCCGAAGAGUCUCCCAAAAUAGUGUUGCGUACCAAAGAGGCCCACAGUGCUCACUGCCAAGAAAUGGCACAUAGGCCUUCUCUUCCUUAUGUAUUUGGCGUGAAGAGAUCAUGCUUACUAAAUUCACUUACAUAUUUUCACACAACCGAGAACUACUCAGUUGAUGUGAUGCAUGAUCUUUUAGAAGGUGUGGCCCAAUUUGAAUUAAAGCAGCUGUUUUUUUAUUUGAAAGAAAAAA